UUUCAGAUUGACUCAUUAGUAUGACACUCUUGUCAGCUCAUAACAUUCAUUGAACUAAUAUCAGUGUUUGUGUGCAGCUGAGUGCCUCCACAGGCUGUGUCCUGUGUCUUUGCCUUCACCCUCAGCACCUGCAGUAGGUCCCAGCUGCGGCAGAGCAGUCGCUAUGUCGUCUUGCUGAGGGAGGUUUUUGUACGGGUGUGUAAAACUGUGUGAACACCCAUUUACUGUUUGGGUAGUGUACACUCUGACAAUAAUAAUCUGCUGCAUCUUCAGCCUGGACUCCUGUGAUGGUCAGAGUGAAGUCAGUCCCAGAUCCCUCCCAUUGCCAAGAACGGAUGAAGCACUGGAUUCAGGACCCCUACGCAUGCUGACGCAGCUACCCACCUGAACUAGUAUAGCCAUUUCUUCUUGAAUGAUUAUGGUCCUGAAUUUUA
rnacentral:lncRNA from 1 species